rnacentral:rRNA from 1 species
GUGCCAGCCGCCGCGGUAAUACGAAGGGGGCUAGCGUUGUUCGGAAUUACUGGGCGUAAAGCGCGCGUAGGCGGUGAUCUUUGUCAGAGGUGAAAGCCCGGGGCUCAACUCCGGAAUUGCCUUUGAAACGGGAUCGCUAGAGUCCGAGAGAGGAUGGCGGAAUUCCUAGUGUAGAGGUGAAAUUCGUAGAUAUUAGGAAGAACACCGGUGGCGAAGGCGGCCAUCUGGCUCGGUACUGACGCUCAGGCGCGAAAGCGUGGGGAGCAAACAGGAUUAGAAACCCCCGUAGUCC